UACGUAGGGUGCAAGCGUUAAUCGGAAUUACUGGGCGUAAAGCGUGCGCAGGCGGUUUUGUAAGCCAGAUGUGAAAUCCCCGGGCUUAACCUGGGAAUGGCAUUUGGGACUGCAAGGCUCGAGUGCGGCAGAGGAGACUGGAAUUCCUGGUGUAGCAGUGAAAUGCGUAGAUAUCAGGAGGAACACCGAUGGCGAAGGCAGGUCUCUGGGCUGACACUGACGCUCAGGCACGAAAGCGUGGGGAGCAAACAGG
rnacentral:rRNA from 1 species